GAUGAAGAACGUAGCGAAAUGCGAUAAGUAAUGUGAAUUGCAGAAUUCAGUGAAUCAUCGAAUCUUUGAACGCACCUUGCACCCUUUGGCAUUCCGAAGGGCAUGCUCGUUUGAGUGUCAUUGUACUCUCACUCUCCCGAUGCUUUUGGAUCGGGAGUGGUGGACUUGGGUGUUGCUGCUUUGCUGUGGCUCGCCUCAAAUGGAGUAGUGCAACUCUUGGUUGGACAUAGUACGGCGUGAUAAGUGUCUUCGCCGGCGCCUCAUUAUAGAGGGUGGCCGAUCGGGAGCUCUGUGCUUCAAACCGUCUUCGGACAACAUCUGACAACUUGACCUCAAAUCGAGUAGGACUACCCGCUGAACUUAAGCAUAUCAAUAAGCGGAGGA
rnacentral:misc_RNA from 1 species